AAAACGUCAUUGGUUUAAUGGGUCCCACCAGGCUGUUUCUUCACUUUCCCAUUCUGUACUCUUCUUGACUUCUCAAUUCUUCUUUCGCACUCACACAGCGAGAUGUUCCUCUAGCCCGAUCCCCUUUCUCCUUUCCCCAAUCUCUCUGGUCACUCCAAAAUUGCUGCUGCCGAAUAGCUCCCAUCAACUCUGUUGUUCAUGCUCACCUGCAGCCACCCCCGCAAAUGGUGCUUCCAUAGUGUAUCCGUCGACGGCGGCUGGUAUGGUCCCUCAUAUGCCUCGGUCUCCUUGGAUUUUGAAUGGCGAUGGAUAGUAGGGCCGAAAGAUUAGCCGCAGCAAGGAGGAGGCGUGAUCAUUCAUCUGCAAAGUGCCGUUAUUGUAGGCGUCCGUACAGUUGAUUUGGGCGUGGAUUUCGUCUCCUGUAGCCUCGCUUGGAUCCAGCUUGAGUAUUAGGAUGCCGGCGACAUUGUCUUCCCCAAGUGCGCAAGGCAGACACAUUGUUUGUAUUCCCGCUCGAGGUAGUCGGGCACGUCGUCGUCAUCCCCCACGGCGUCAACAAUCUCCAAAGUUGAAAGUCUGCCCUGCAGAGAAGGUGUGACCGGGGGCUAUGAGCUGUACCAUUGUAGACAUGGACGAUGAUGCUGAGAGGAUCCAUACCGAUGCACAUCAAGUGCGUCUGGUUCUCCAAUAUCCAAACACCCUGGUUAGUGGUUCUCCAAUAUCCAGUUGCGCUGACUAGUGGUUCUCCUAGUGGAACUGGACGCCAAGACCAAUAUGGCGAUUGUGCACUGGUGCGGGUCCAUCAUCCAUCAUAGUGGUUCUCAAAGCAUUCUUCACCAAGUGUUCUUCACCAAAUGAUCUUCGCCAUCUCCUUUGAUAGGUAUGUAGUAUGAACAUGAGCAGGGAGCGGCGUAGCAUACGCUCGGCUGGGCGUCCAUGAGAUCGUUGGUGGCGAAGCCGACCUUGUCAAGGUUGUAGCUCUUGUUGUCGAGCCGGACACAGGCGACACACACUUCGUGGUUGAGCCCGACAUAAGGCAUGCGAUAGGCUGUUGAGCUCUCUGUAGAUCUGUGUCUUUUCUAGUAAACAAUUUAACAAUAGGUGGUAUGCAUGAACAGAUAUAGCAUCAUUUUUUUUCUGAAUCCAGUAAAUAGAAAGGGCUAAAUUAGUACAAACACGCAAUCAGUAUCUAUGCAUUAUGAUCUAAAUAUAAUAUAAAAAUAGAUUUUUGCUAAUAGUCAGAGUAAUUUGAAACAACCUCUGUUUUGCUAAUGAUUAAAGAUUAAUUUCUCAUCUAACUUGUUCAAGGCGUAAGACAAAGCAAAACUAAAAAAAUAAAAUCAGUUCCAUCUAUCUUAUUCACCUUCUCUUGCUAACUCGCCCCUCUUUAGAUAUAUAGUCGGUGUAGUGACCCUAGCAAGUUGCAGUAGAGCUAUUGGAUAAAGUUAGCACUUGAUUGUAUGGUUGCAUGUCUUUAAACCGAAAAGGUUCACUCCAAGAAGUGAAUCAUGUCGGAAAGGUUCACUCCAAGAAGUGAAUCAUGUCGGAGUGCUGAUUGAUUUGUGUAUGUAAUCGCACAUCCAUGAUUGAUGAUUCUUCUAGCUAUUAGGAGGAAUCUGAGGUAAGCGUGUAAGGACAAUUUUUCAGUUUUUCAUAGGCUCGAGUACAGCACGUCGACGUCCACCAUCUUGGACCUGUAGCAGCUAAGUUGAGGCAACAACAUAAGGAAAACAGGGGCCUAAUAACAUCGACAAUUAGAGAGGAGAUUUUUAGGAAAAACAAAGACCUAACAAUAGCGACAAAUACAGAGAGUUUUUUCUGGUCCUCAUGCAUCCUCAGCAUCUAGAUGACAACAUCAACAAAGCAGUGGCGGUGGCCACAGUGAUUAGGCGGAUCUAGCCUCUAGGGCAAGACAUAUACGUGAAUAUGUGUACAGAUGGUCUUCAUGCAUCCUUGCCAUCCAUAUGAAAAAUGAGCAAAGCAGCGGCGACAGCGGGAGUAAUGUAGCGACCAGACCUCAAACAGUCUGAUCUCUGUGCUUUAGUGUCAUCCCUGGAUCAGUAAUGCUGACACGCUGAUAUGUUUCCAACGUAUCUAUAAUUUUUGAUUGUUUCAUGCUAUUAUAUUACCCCUUUUGGAUGUUUAUGGGCUUUAUUUUACACAUUUAUAUCAUUUUUGGGACUAACCUACUAACUGGAGGCCCAGCCCGUAUUGCUGUUUUUUUGCCUAUUUCAGUAUUUUGAAGAAAAG
rnacentral:rRNA from 1 species